AACGAACGCUGGCGGCAUGCCUAACACAUGCAAGUCGAACGAGAUCUUCGGGUCUAGUGGCGCACGGGUGCGUAACGCGUGGGAAUCUGCCCUUUGGUUCGGAAUAACAGUUGGAAACGACUGCUAAUACCGGAUGAUGACGAAAGUCCAAAGAUUUAUCGCCAGAGGAUGAGCCCGCGUAGGAUUAGCUAGUUGGUGUGGUAAAGGCGCACCAAGGCGACGAUCCUUAGCUGGUCUGAGAGGAUGAUCAGCCACACUGGGACUGAGACACGGCCCAGGCUCCUGCGGGAGGCAGCAGUGGGGAAUAUUGGACAAUGGGCGAAAGCUUGAUCCAGCAAUGCCGCGUGAGUGAUGAGGGCCUUAGGGUUGUAAAGCUCUUUUACCCGGGAUGAUAAUGACAGUACCGGGAGAAUAAGCUCCGGCUAACUCCGUGCCAGCCGCCGCCGUAA
rnacentral:rRNA from 1 species